rnacentral:rRNA from 1 species
CAGUCGAGCGGUAAGGCCCUUCGGGGUACACGAGCGGCGAACGGGUGAGUAACACGUGGGUGAUCUGCCUCGUACUCUGGGAUAAGCCUGGGAAACUGGGUCUAAUACCGGAUAUGACCACGAAUCGCAUGGUUUGUGGUGGAAAGAUUUAUCGGUGCGAGAUGGGCCCGCGGCCUAUCAGCUUGUUGGUGGGGUAAUGGCCUACCAAGGCGACGACGGGUAGCCGGCCUGAGAGGGCGACCGGCCACACUGGGACUGAGACACGGCCCAGACUCCUACGGGAGGCAGCAGUGGGGAAUAUUGCACAAUGGGCGGAAGCCUGAUGCAGCGACGCCGCGUGAGGGAUGACGGCCUUCGGGUUGUAAACCUCUUUCGACAGGGACGAAGCGCAAGUGACGGUACCUGUAGAAGAAGCACCGGCCAACUACGUGCCAGCAGCCGCGGUAAUACGUAGGGUGCGAGCGUUGUCCGGAAUUACUGGGCGUAAAGAGCUUGUAGGCGGUUCGUCGCGUCGAUCGUGAAAACUUGCAGCUCAACUGCGAGCUUGCGGUCGAUACGGGCGGACUAGAGUACUGCAGGGGAGACUGGAAUUCCUGGUGUAGCGGUGAAAUGCGCAGAUAUCAGGAGGAACACCGGUGGCGAAGGCGGGUCUCUGGGCAGUAACUGACGCUGAGAAGCGAAAGCGUGGGUAGCGAACAGGAUUAGAUACCCUGGUAGUCCACGCCGUAAACGGUGGGCGCUAGGUGUGGGUUUCCUUCCACGGGAUCCGUGCCGUAGCUAACGCAUUAAGCGCCCCGCCUGGGGAGUACGGCCGCAAGGCUAAAACUCAAAGGAAUUGACGGGGGCCCGCACAAGCGGCGGAGCAUGUGGAUUAAUUCGAUGCAACGCGAAGAACCUUACCUGGGUUUGACAUACACCAGAAAGCUGCAGAGAUGUAGCCCCCCUUGUGGUUGGUGUACAGGUGGUGCAUGGCUGUCGUCAGCUCGUGUCGUGAGAUGUUGGGUUAAGUCCCGCAACGAGCGCAACCCUUGUCCUGUGUUGCCAGCGCGUUAUGGCGGGGACUCGCAGGAGACUGCCGGGGUCAACUCGGAGGAAGGUGGGGACGACGUCAAGUCAUCAUGCCCCUUAUGUCCAGGGCUUCACACAUGCUACAAUGGCCGGUACAGAGGGCUGCGAUACCGUGAGGUGGAGCGAAUCCCUUAAAGCCGGUCUCAGUUCGGAUCGGGGUCUGCAACUCGACCCCGUGAAGUUGGAGUCGCUAGUAAUCGCAGAUCAGCAACGCUGCGGUGAAUACGUUCCCGGGCCUUGUACACACCGCCCGUCACGUCAUGAAAGUCGGUAACACCCGAAGCCGG